AUGCAUCUAUUACUAGAUGACAAGAAAGAGCUAAUAAAUGCGCGGAGGCGGGCAACGUAUCUUAAGAACAAGGAAAAUGCUGACAUUAACAAGGAACAGAUGAAAGCUCCGUUGGUAGAUGGUUAUCGAAGAAAAUAUGAUGACACCGCCGGCAAGCAUCUCCAUCAAAAUAUGCCUGCCGUUGACAUGUCGGGUAUGCAAAAUGUUCCACAGAGCGCUCUCGGUGAUAUCACUAAUGGGGUACAAGCUCACCCUAUGCUCCUUGCCGACAAAAAUAGCCAGAUCAAGGCUCAAGGGCGAGCUACCGUGAAGCACAAAGAUGAUAACCUUCCUGCCCUUACAAUAUCAGCCGACCCAAAUAGGUCCAGCUAUACGUCAUUGUCACAAGAUGAGGCGGUAUUGCCUCAUAUUAAUAUAAUCAGUACAGCUGUCAUUCAUGAUAACCAACUACCUAGGAAGCAGCGUGAUAAUGCAGACGAAAUCGAUGGGUUCCGAGACUGCAUCACUAGCGAUGAGACGACACCAUCCGACUUUAUGGAUGAGGAGUACUACAUGUUUCGCGACGAAGGAUACGAUAAUGACACCUUGGAGGAUGAAGAGGAAGCGAUCAUGUCGUCUGCUAUACCUAGCGAGGUUGAUCCAUUAGACUUUGUCUACACAAACAUCCCAGACACGACUCACAUCCUGAAGCUCGACGCAAACUGCAAACACCGCAAGGCAAAAAAAACGUGUUUGAGACUGACGGCUUCUGCUGUCGCAAUGGCCAGAUCGAACUUAAACAACCUGAGCCAAUCCCAGAGCUGA
rnacentral:rRNA from 1 species